rnacentral:rRNA from 1 species
AUUGAACGCUGGCGGCAUGCCUUACACAUGCAAGUCGAACGGCAGCACGGGAGCAAUCCUGGUGGCGAGUGGCGAACGGGUGAGUAAUAUAUCGGAACGUGCCCAGUCGUGGGGAUAACGUAGCGAAAGCUACGCUAAUACCGCAUACGAUCUACGGAUGAAAGCGGGGGAUCGCAAGACCUCGCGCGAUUGGAGCGGCCGAUAUCAGAUUAGGUAGUUGGUGAGGUAAAGGCUCACCAAGCCGACGAUCUGUAGCUGGUCUGAGAGGACGACCAGCCACACUGGGACUGAGACACGGCCCAGACUCCUACGGGAGGCAGCAGUGGGGAAUUUUGGACAAAUGGGCGCAAGCCUGAUCCAGCAAUGCCGCGUGCAGGAUGAAGGCC